rnacentral:rRNA from 1 species
GCAACCAGCCAUAUCACCCUGCAGCUUAUAACUGGAAACCCACCGAAGCUAAGCAGGUGUGAGCCUGGUCAGUACCUGGAUGGCAGACCUCCUGGGAAAAACUGAGGUUGCU